rnacentral:rRNA from 1 species
AGUCGAACGAGAGUGCUUGCACUCUAGUGGCGAACGGGUGAGUAACACNUUUUCUAAUUUGCCUUUUUGAGGGGAAUAACCGUUGGAAACGACGGCUAAUACCGCAUAGGUUAUCGUUAGGCAUCUAAUGAUAAUUAAAGGUGCGCAUUUGCACUACAAAAAGAUAAGGAUGCGCUGCAUUAGUUAGUUGGUAAGGUAAUGGCUUACCAAGACGAUGAUGCAUAGCCGACCUGAGAGGGUGAACGGCCACACUGGGAUUGAGACACGGCCCAGACUCCUACGGGAGGCAGCAGUAGGGAAUUUUUCACAAUGGGCGAAAGCCUGAUGGAGCAAUGCCGCGUGACUGAUGAAGGCCUUCGGGUUGUAAAGGUCUGUUGUAAGGAAAGAAUAGUAAGAAUAGGAAAUGAUUCUUAUUUGACGGUACUUUACCAGAAGGCCACGGCAAACUAUGUGCCAGCAGCCGCGGUAAUACAUAGGUGGCAAGCGUUAUCCGGAUUUAUUGGGCGUAAAGGGUGCGUAGGCGGUAAUAUAAGUCUAAGGUUAAAGAUCGAAGCUCAACUUCGAUUUGCCUUGGAAACUGUAUAACUAGAGUACAGGAGAGGUUAGUGGAAUUCCAUGUGUAGCGGUGAAAUGCGUAGAUAUAUGGAGGAACACCAGUGGCGAAGGCGACUAACUGGCCUGUAACUGACGCUGAGGCACGAAAGCAGGAGUAUCAAAUAGGAUUAGAUACCCUAGUAGUUCCUGCCGUAAACGAUGAGUACUAAGUGUCGGCUUUAAUGUCGGUGCUGUAGCUAACGCAUUAAGUACUCCGCCUGAGUAGUAUGCUCGCAAGAGUGAAACUCAAAGGAAUUGACGGGGGCCCGCACAAGCGGUGGAUCACGUGGUUUAAUUCGAAGCAACGCGAAGAACCUUACCCAGACUUGACAUCCAGUGCAAUGCUAUAGAAAUAUAGUGGAGGUUAACACUGAGACAGGUGGUGCAUGGUUGUCGUCAGCUCGUGUCGUGAGAUGUUGGGUUAAGUCCCGCAACGAGCGCAACCCUUAUCAUUAGUUGCUAACAUUUAGUUGAGGACUCUAAUGAGACUGCUAGUGCAAGCUAGAGGAAGGUGGGGAUGACGUCAAAUCAUCAUGCCCCUUAUGUCUGGGGCUACACACGUGAUACAAUGGUCGGUACAAAGAGUCGCAAACUCGCAAGGGCAAGCUAAUCUCAAAAAGCCGAUCUCAGUUCGGAUUGAAGUCUGCAACUCGACUCCAUGAAGUUGAAAUCGCUAGUAAUCGCGGAUCAGCAAUGCCGCGGUGAAUACGUUCUCGGGUCUUGUACACACCCGCCGUCACACCACGAGAGUUGGUAAUGCCAGAAGUUCGUAUCUUAACAGUUUACUGAGAGAGCGACCCAAGGUAGGAUUGACGAUUGGGGUGAAGUCGUAACAAGGUAACC